rnacentral:rRNA from 1 species
CCUACGGGGGGCAGCAGUGGGGGAUAUUGCACAAUGGGGGGAACCCUGAUGCAGCGAUGCCGCGUGUGGGAAGACGGUCCUCUGGAUUGUAAACCACUGUCCCCAGGGACGAAAAUGACGGUACCUGGGGAGGAAGCUCCGGCUAACUACGUGCCAGCAGCCGCGGUAAUACGUAGGGAGCGAGCGUUGUCCGGAAUUAGUGGGUGAAAGGGGAGCGUAGGAGGGGAUGCAAGUUGGGUGUCAGACCUACCGGCUAAACUGGGAGUCGCACUCAAAACUGCAGCUCUUGAGUGAAGUAGAGGCAGGCGGAAUUCCUAGUGUAGCGGUGAAAUGCGUAGAUAUUAGGAGGAACACCAGUGGCGAAGGCGGCCUGCUGGGCUUUUACUGACGCUGAGGCUCGAAAGUGUGGGGAGCAAACAGGAUUAGAUACCCGAGUAGUC